GAGUCUGAGGACAUUACUGGAGGGUUCGGAUCUCGAACCUGGGGCCUUGAAGAGGCCCGCGCUUGGGGUUUUUAGGCAACAGCAGGCCUCCAAGCAGAGUCCUGGUGUCCCGGACCGAAUCACUCCCCGAGAGACGGGCAAGGAGAUGGACCGCCAGCCAGGAAUAAUGGGAACCCUUCGCUUGGCAAACGAUAGUUUCCAAACUUAAGGUUGUGGAUGAAACUUUUUGGUGCGGCUGCUGCAGGAGCCCCAGCCCCGGGGUGCUGCUGACCCGAGGCAAGGGAGCCGGCGCACUCACGCUUAGCCGCUAAGGAGUCUGCGGUGUCGGCGAAAGCUCCGGACAUGAUUUUGGAAGGAGCUAGGGCCAAGGCUAAUAAACUACCAUAACUUCAAAAUAGUGAAGAAUAUAAUUAUUUGGAGAUAGCGGUGAAAACUGCACUACGAUGAACUGAUUUUUAUUGGUGACAUAACAGCAUAACUACCCUGGUUUUUGCCUACAUUCAUACUUGAUGUGAAAAAAAUUAAGAGGUUUGUAUCUUUUUUCUACGGAAGUUUUUGAACCCCUUGGAUUCUGUCUAUGGACACCAAGUUAAGAAUACCUGGUAUAAAGGAAAGCCUUAUGCAUGCGGUUUCCAACCCACAGAAUUUCAGAGAUCCUCCAUUAAGUCUCAAAAAUUAUUCUUAUGGCUGUGCAAUGGUUUCAGCUGAUUCCUUGAUCAUUUAUUCAGUCCAUAAGUCUUACACAAGCAUGUUCUCUUUAGUGCAGAGGAAAAAGAAAAGUUGAAUGUUUUUCUUCUUAUUCCCAACUGUUUACAUUACCUCUAGAAAAGAAUUUCAAAUUAACACAGACGAAAACAGAAUAACAAACUCGCAGAAGACAUUCAGUAUAGAGCUUAUAGUGAUAGAACAGAAUGGCUCCCAGUUUCAAGUGAACCAUAGUCCAAUCACUUCAUUUUAUAGAUGAAGAAACAAAGUUAACUGACUGUCAUGGAUUACAAAACAGGUUGAUGAAAACACGGGAUUUGUCUUCUCACAAUCUCUCCCCAGUAUGUUCUACCACACCAUGUGCAUGACUUUGCCAGAGUAUCACCCAAUGAAUAAAUGGGGAAUGAACAGUUUAUUAUGAAACCUAGGUGGCAGACUUUUUAUUAGACUGCCGUAACAAUGUUCUUUAGAUUUUUCUUUUCCUUUCCUUUUCUUUUUCUUUUUUGACACAGAGUCUCACUCUGUGGCCCAGGCUGGAGUGCAAUGUCACAAUCUCGGGUAACUGUAACCUCCGCCUCCCGGGUUCAAGCAGUUCUCCUGCCUCAGCCUCCCGAGUAGCUGGGAUUACAGGUGCAUGCCACCACACCUGGCUAGUUUUUGUAUUUUUAGUAGAGACGGGGUUUCGCCAUGUUGGCCAGGCUGGUCUUGAACUCCUGACCUUAGGGGAUCCACCCACCUCGGCCUCCCAAGGUGCUCAGAUUACAGGCAUCAGCCACUGCACCCGGCCAGAUUUUUCUUUUUUUGCUUACAUAUCCCAUAAACAUGUUUUUAAAAAAGUUAUGUAUCCCUUUGUACAGCUGUAAAAUGAAGUCUAAAUUUGUCACAAUUUUUUUUUUUUUUUUUGAGAUGGAGUUUUGCUCUUCUUGCCCAGGCUGGAGUGCAAUGGCGGGAUCUCGGCUCACUGCAACCUCCACCUCCCGGGGUUCAAGUGAUUCUCCUGCCUCAGCCUCCCAAGUAGCUGGGAUUACAGGCAUGUGCCACCACACCCAGCUAAUGUUUGUAUUUUUUUAAAUAGAUACGGGGUUUCUCCAUGUUGAUGUCAGACUGGUCUCGAACUCCCGACCUCAGGUGAUCCACCCGCCUCGGCCCCCCAAAGUGCUGGCAUUACAAGCGUGAAUCACUGCGCCCGGCCUAUCAUAAAUUUUAAAAAUUAUAAAGGAUGUAAUUUCUGGCAUAGUAUAAAUAUCGUCAUUAUUUAAUGAAACUUUCACGUUUCUCAUGUAAAUAUACCCAGUUGAGUGUAACUCUGAUAGCUACCAUCAACUAUUUAUAAAAUAUCUGAACACUUAAAAGCAGACAUUUUAUAUCACUAUUUCUUCUGGAAACUUUAUUUCCAUUCUAUAUGGAAUUUUUUCUCAUUGUAAUUUGCAUUUAUAAUGGAAAGGCAUAUUGAUAAUGUAUCAUCAUCUGCAAUAAAAAUAUAUUAAUUUUAAAAAUUUUCCUGGAAGAAAAAUGUUAAACUUAUUCUUUUGGGUUAUCUUUCAGUUAUUACAAAGUUGAUUACAACAACAUGAGUAAGUCUUAAGCUUUGAUUAAAAAUUACAGGACAAAAAAAUUUUUAUUGAAAAUAGAGCUCUUAAAAAGAUGCUUGGUAUAAAUAAGUCAUGCUUCUGUUAAUGACAGGACUAGUUAAAAGGAUAAGAUUUGUAUGUCUGUGUCUCUUGUAAAAUUGAAUCAUCAAUUCUUAAGAAGCGAAACCAGGAUAUAUAAGUAUUACAUAAUAUGCCCAGAAAGUAAUGUGAACAAAAUUCAGACGUACGUUGAAGCUCCCAUUUUAAGAAUCACUCAUAUGACAAAUGUCAUCUUUUGCUCUAUAACCUUUGCUUAAAUUGUAGAAAAGAUGGAUUUAAUGAGACAAAUGAAAAGUGGUUUAACAUAACACACAGCAGAGCAUAUGCUGUUAUGCUUUGGUGUUUGUUCCCUAGCCCUUGUUCCUCAUAAUAGAUUGUGGAAUGUUUCAAAAAUGCUGUAACUUUUUUUUGCUAAUUGUGGUCUUAACAAAAAUUGUUCUUGAUUUUAAAAAAAGAUGGAUAGGAUUGGUUAUUGAACUUUGAUAUUAAAUAAAGUUUUAGUGAUA
rnacentral:lncRNA from 1 species